CCUACGGGGCGCAGCAGUGAGGAAUAUUGGUCAAUGGCCGGAAGGCUGAACCAGCCAUGCCGCGUGAAGGUCAGUGCCCUAUGGGCGUUAAACUUCUUUUGUGCGGGAGCAAUAAUGGUCACGUGUGGCCAGACGAGAGUACCGUACGAAUAAGCAUCGGCUAACUCCGUGCCAGCAGCCGCGGUAAUACGGGGGAUGCACGCGUUAUCCGGAUUUAUUGGGGUUAAAGGGUGCGUAGGCUGUGAGGUAAGUCAGCGGUGAAAUGCCCCCGCUCAACGGGGUGAAGUGCCAUUGAUACUGGCUUGCUGGAGUGCGGAUGCGGUGGGAGGAAUGUGUGGUGUAGCGGUGAAAUGCAUAGAUAUCACACAGAACACCGAUUGCGAAGGCAUCUCACGAAUCCGCGAUUGACGCUGAUGCACGAAAGCGUGGGUAUCAAACAGGAUUAGAUACCCCAGUAGUC
rnacentral:rRNA from 1 species